CAAUGGACGGUACAACGAGUCGCAAGACCGCGAGGUUUAGCAAAUCUCUUAAAGCCGUUCUCAGUUCGGAUUGUAGGCUGCAACUCGCCUACAUGAAGUCGGAAUCGCUAGUAAUCGCGGAUCAGCAUGCCGCGGUGAAUACGUUCCCGGGCCUUGUACACACCGCCCGUCACGCCAUGGAAGCCGGGAGUGCCGGAAGUGUGCAACCGCAAGGAGCGCCCUAAGGUAAAACUGGUGACUGGGGCUAAGUCGUAACAAGGUAUC
rnacentral:rRNA from 1 species